UCCAGACUCCUACGGGAGGCAGCAGUGGGGGAUAUUGGACAAUGGGGGAAACCCUGAUCCAGCGACGCCGCGUGAGUGAAGAAGUAUUUCGGUAUGUAAAGCUCUGUCAGCAGGGAAGAAAGAAAUGACGGUACCUGACCAAGAAGCCCCGGCUAACUACGUGCCAGCAGCCGCGGUAAUACGUAGGGGGCAAGCGUUAUCCGGAUUUACUGGGUGUAAAGGGGGCGUAGACGGCAGCGCAAGUCUGAAGUGAAAUGCCGGGGCUUAACCCCGGAACUGCUUUGGAAACUGUGCGGCUGGAGUGCAGGAGGGGUAAGCGGAAUUCCUAGUGUAGCGGUGAAAUGCGUAGAUAUUAGGAGGAACACCGGUGGCGAAGGCGGCUUACUGGACUGUAACUGACGUUGAGGCUCGAAAGCGUGGGGAGCAAACAGGAUUAGAUACCCUUGUACU
rnacentral:rRNA from 1 species